GGAAGCAGAGGGGGAAGGAAGGCUCUCUUUUCUCUCCUCUGAAGCUAGUUUAUACUGUGACCUGCCUGGAUCGAAGAAGAUGCUUCAUGAAAAAGGCCCCCUAAAAGCAUGAAGGAUUCUGCAACUAUGAUUGAGGUGUUGGAGCCUUGCAAAUUCAGCUGGAUUCAUUUUGAAAAAUAAGAGCGCUCUCUCUGAGGCCACCAAGGGACAGUAUUUGGCUCUCUACCAUUGUACGGGGCACAAUAGCCAAUCCGAUGAAAUCCACAUCCCCUCUUUGGAUUGAGAGGGAAGGCGCCAAAAGCAUUCCAGGCAGGCCAAGUUUAACAAGACUGAGUUAAUCUGCUCUGAAAGCUUGCUUUGGGACCUUGUCCGUCUAGCUUACCACAUAGUUUCCAAGGAAAAUGGAACUUUAGCCAUAAAUCUGAGUGAAAGGUGUCUUGUGAGAAAACGAUGCAUCACUGUUUCUGUAGGACUCCAUUAACCUUCACACCAUACGCGCUGUAACUAAAAUGAAACUAAUGAAGCGGACAGGAGAUGGGCUGAAAAGCGUGAAUCGACGGGAUCGUUGGGUCCAGGAGAAGUUGAAUUUACAUUUAAGGCCGAAAAAUGUUUUGUCAGUCCUCAGAAAUCCUGGUGAUGACCAGGUUAUUAUAUAAAUAAAUGGUGAAAAUGAACAAAACUUUACUGCAGAUGCUCCUGGUUUUGCAUUGUCUUUCCUCCCUUGCAGCGUUGUCUGAGCUCAGGUCAGAGAAAUCUGGGCAUGCCAACAUUGGGUCAUGUAUUUAACAGGAGAGGUGAAUCUAAAAAAGGAGUUGGGGAUUUCCUUUCUUCCAGUUGGAAAAUUAAAGUACUGGGUGAAGAUAGGCUGUCCUGCAGGACUCACAUUCCCCAGUCAACCCAUGUCCCCAGGUGCUGAUUUUUACAACGAUGCUUCAGGGAGGUGAUGCUAAGGGUUUGAUACUUUCAUAGUUUACUUUUCUUUCGAACAGCUGGGAGGUAAAGGAUUUUUAGAGCUGCUAGCAGUGCGGUUGCAAUUAUUCAGUAGUGCAGGAUGACAAAAUGUGUAUUUAUGGAGGUGGGGAAAAAUUGCAGCCAUGAACAUUGUCGUUUAUGUUGCUUGGAUUCUGUUGAAUAUAAUUUUUUGGUUGAGUGGGUUUGAAUAGGCAAACCUGGAGUCAUUCAAAUCUCUACUGUGUCAAACCUUAAUCAGUUACACAUAACAAGCUAUAGUAUGGAUCAGGUGUUCAAUAAUUACAUUAAUUAGAGAAGAGCCAUUGAUUCUAUGUUGGCAGAUAUAAGGCAGAGAUGCUUUUUGGGUUUCCUGAUAACUGAUCAGACCAGAAGGAUUCCAGAUUAUAAAUCUGAGUCAAUAUUUUGCUGGCAAAGCACUGAGGGAGGAAAAAAGUAUCCACUUUUCAGAAGAACUUGGCCGAAUGUAUUAUUAAUGCAAAGAUGAUCAGAUAAAAAACUGGAACGUGGUGAGCUGUCAAAUAAAAAAUGCAGAGUAAAUCAAAAAUUUAUAAAACUGUAUUGAGUUAUUACAAUUCUAUUAUAGACACCAGUAAUCAUUUUUUUUUCUGAAGCAUAUUCCUUAUAUUGCUGUACCACUGAGAUGUUGGGAUGCAAGGAUUUAGGAUGAUGAAACUCAUUUUUUUUGAAUAUCAUUAAAUUAAAAAUUAAAUGUAAAUAGUAAAUGAUUUAGCUACAGCUUCGGCAACAGAUUGAAUAAAAACAAUAGAGUUCAAAA